rnacentral:lncRNA from 1 species
GUUUAGGCACGGAUUUGGGGCUGUUUGUUACCACCACAUCGUUCACCCCCUCCUGCUGCUGGGUGCAGUGAAGAACCACACACCCCACAAAGGCUGGACUCUCCCCUGAGACGAGUCGUGGGAUUUGGGCACGAAGCUGGCAGCGGGUCGCAGAGGUUCAUGACCAGGAGGUGAGGACCUGCCUUCUGGCAGCGAUCCUGCGGCCACUCGAUGCCCGGCCCUCCCGGCCGGUGUCUCCCGAGGCCACAGAGCCUUUCUGAGAAACAGAUAUCAGGAUGCGAUCGUGCAACACGGAGCUGCCUGAAACACCAAGUUCACGGGUGUGUGCAAGUAUCUUUGUGUCUUCCUUCUCUUUUCCAUCGAAAGAGCAUAAACUCAGGACAGUGAUGGCCCUGGAAUGGGAACAGAACAAGACCGGGAAACUCAUUUCUUAAUUUUCUGUCCCCGCCCCCUUACACCCAUCUCUCAAAAGCUGAAGGCAACACCCGAGACACAGGACAUCAGUGAUGGGGCUCCUGGUCUGCUGCAUUGCUGCACCUCGGCCAUUUGUCAAGGAGCCUCUGUGCUGGCGUGGCAUUGGGAACCUACAGUGAACCUACACAUCCCUUGUCCUCACGGGGGCUUCCUCCUAACGAGGAAGGCAGAGACGGUGAACAGAUGUAAGUAAGACGGCUUCAGCGAGCCCUGAGUGAAGGCCGCCACGCAGAGGACAGUGGACAGGCUUUGAGGAGGGGUCUAUCUCCUGUGGAGGGACGGACGACCCCAACACUGAGCCCCCCACAGCAGCCAAUGUUUAUUGUCUUGGUCUCUGUGGGUCAGGAGCCCAAAGGCAGCACGGCUGGGUGGCUCUGACUCAGGGCUCUCGAGGGGUCAGUCAGGAUGUCGGCAGGCGCUGCAUCAUCCCAGGCUGGAAAUCUAUGUCUCAGCUCCCAUGUGCGACUGGUGGCAGGAGGUGUCGGGUCCUCACCACGUGGGCCUCUCCACAGGCUGCUCACAGGCAGGGCAGCUGGCUUCCCAGGGGAGAGAUGGAGAUGGAGAUGGAGAUCAAGGUGCACACGUGCACACGCAAGUGAGCCCACGUGCACACCAACACACACACGCACCAAGCC